GAUGAACGCUGGCGGCGUGCCUAAUACAUGCAAGUCGAGCGAACGGACGAGAAGCUUGCUUCUCUGAUGUUAGCGGCGGACGGGUGAGUAACACGUGGAUAACCUACCUAUAAGACUGGGAUAACUUCGGGAAACCGGAGCUAAUACCGGAUAAUAUUUUGAACCGCAUGGUUCAAAAGUAAAAGACGGUCUUGCUGUCACUUAUAGAUGGAUCCGCGCUGCAUUAGCUAGUUGGUAAGGUAACGGCUUACCAAGGCAACGAUGCAUAGCCGACCUGAGAGGUUGAUCGGCCACACUGGAACUGAGACACGGUCCAGACUCCUACGGGAGGCAGCAGUAGGGAAUCUUCCGCAAUGGGCGAAAGCCUGACGGAGCAACGCCGCGUGAGUGAUGAGGGUCUUCGGAUCGUAAAACUCUGUUAUUAGGGAAGAACAUAUGUGUAAGUAACUGUGCACAUCUUGACGGUACCUAAUCAGAAAGCCACGGCUAACUACGUG
rnacentral:rRNA from 1 species